UACGGAGGGGACUAGCGUUGUUCGGAAUUACUGGGCGUAAAGCGCACGUAGGCGGAUUUGUAAGUCAGGGGUGAAAUCCCGGGGCUCAACCUCGGAACUGCCUUUGAUACUGCAAAUCUCGAGUCCGGAAGAGGUGAGUGGAAUUCCUAGUGUAGAGGUGAAAUUCGUAGAUAUUAGGAAGAACACCGGUGGCGAAGGCGGCCCACUGGAUCGGCACUGACGCUGAGGUGCGAAAGCGUGGGGAGCAAACAGG
rnacentral:rRNA from 1 species